rnacentral:rRNA from 1 species
CCUACGGGAGGCAGCAGUGAGGAAUAUUGGUCAAUGGGCGCGAGCCUGAACCAGCCAAGUAGCGUGAAGGAUGACUGCCCUACGGGUUGUAAACCUCUUUUGUCAGGGAGCAAUUGGCGCUACGUGUAGCGUUAUCGAGAGUACCUGAAGAAAAAGCAUCGGCUAACUCCGUGCCAGCAGCCGCGGUAAUACGGAGGAUGCGAGCGUUAUCCGGAUUUUUUGGGUUUAAAGGGUGCGUAGGCGGAAUGCCAAGUCAGCGGUAAAAUCGCGGGGCUCAACCUCGCUCCGCCGUUGAAACUGGCGUUCUUGAGUGGGCGAGAAGUAUGCGGAAUGCGUGGUGUAGCGGUGAAAUGCAUAGAUAUCACGCAGAACUCCGAUUGCGAAGGCAGCAUACCGGCGCCCAACUGACGCUGAAGCACGAAAGCGUGGGUAUCGAACAGGAUUAGAUACCCCGGUAGUC